UACGUAGGGCGCAAGCGUUAUCCGGAAUUAUUGGGCGCAAAGAGCUCGUAGGCGGUUUGUCGCGUCUGCCGUGAAAGUCCGGGGCUCAACUCCGGAUCUGCGGUGGGUACGGGCAGACUAGAGUGAUGUAGGGGAGACUGGAAUUCCUGGUGUAGCGGUGAAAUGCGCAGAUAUCAGGAGGAACACCAGUGGCGAAGGCGCCGCUCUGGGCCGUGACUGACGCUGAGGAGCGAAAGCGUGGGUAGCAAACAGG
rnacentral:rRNA from 1 species